rnacentral:rRNA from 1 species
UACGGGGGGGGCAAGCGUUGUUCGGAAUUACUGGGCGUAAAGGGCUCGUAGGUGGCCAACUAAGUCAGACGUGAAAUCCCUCGGCUUAACCGGGGAACUGCGUCUGAUACUGGAUGGCUUGAGUUCGGGAGAGGGAUGCGGAAUUCCAGGUGUAGCGGUGAAAUGCGUAGAUAUCUGGAGGAACACCGGUGGCGAAGGCGGCCUUCUGGACAGUGACUGACGCUGAGACGCGAAAGCGUGGGGAGCAAACAGG